rnacentral:rRNA from 1 species
GGGGGGGGGGGGGGGGGGGGGGGGGGGGGGGGGGGGGGGGGGCGGCGGGGGGAGAGCUUGCGCGUGCGGGGGGGGGGGGGCGGAGGGGUGGGGGAUGCAUCGGAAUCUACUUUUUCGUGGGGGAUAACGUAGGGAAACUUACGCUGCUGCCGCAUACGACCUACGGGUGAACGCAGGGGAUCUUCGGACCUUGCGCGAUUGAAUGAGCCGAUGUCGGAUUAGCUAGUUGGCGGGGUAACGACCCACCAAGGCGACGAUCCGUAGCUGGUCUGAGAGGAGGAUCAGCCACACUGGAACUGAGACACGAGCCAGACUCCUACGGGAGGCAGCAGUGGGGAAUAUUGGACAAUGGGCGAAAGCCGGAUACAGCCAUACCGCGUGGGUGAAGAAGGCCUUCGGGUUGUAAAGCCCUUUUGUUGGGAAAGAAAAGCAGCAGGUUAAUACCCCGCUGUUCUGACGGUACCCAAAGAAUAAGCACCGGCUAACUUCGUG